GUCAAGGCCAAGCUCAUCUCCAAGAUCGCAGAGAAGAAGAUCAAGGCCGCCGGCGGCGCUGUCGUGCUCGUUGCCUAGGGUUCUGUUCGCGACCGUGCCUUGAGAUCUAUUAUAUCUGAACUAUUAGUUGUUUCCCGUACCAGCAAUUUGUGUUGAACAAGACAUCGUUAGUUUGUUAUCCUGGUUCCUGUGUGGUAAACCAACAUCUUAUGAGAAUUUUGCGCUAUGUUAUGCCAGUUUAUAUCAGACGAGUUAUCCAUAUCUGUGCUCCUAUUUAUGUUUCGUUUGAUCUGUGUUAAUCCCUAAUGUUAUCAAUCCCUAAUGCAUAUACUGUUAUUUGCUAUGGUGCAUCACCAUAAGAUUCUAUGCCUGCUAGUCAUCUUAACUUCAUGAUUCUAUGCCUGCUAGUCAUGUGAACUG
rnacentral:lncRNA from 1 species